rfam:Camelus ferus unplaced genomic scaffold scaffold1581, whole genome shotgun sequence.
GAGGGCAUAGCUCAGUGGUAGAGUGCAUACCUAGUGUGUACAAGAUCCUGGGUUCAAGCCCCAGUACCUCCA